AUCAUUACGGUAUUAAUCAUGUAUUUAACUGCAGACUCUCCUUUCAGUAUCUGAAUAUUCUUGGCUGAUACUUUCAGCCAAAUUAUUAAUUGUAUUCCUUUUUUCUUCCUAGUGAUACUGACUGCUAAGUUUUUCUGACUUCCUUCAGAGUAGCUUAGUUUUUCUUAAGACCUUCUGUGCAAUUUUUAUCCUAGGAUCUCCUUUUUGAUUUUAUUUUCUAUAUCCUGUGUCAUUUCUUUUCUUGGAGCAACUCGAGUAGCUUCCUGGAAAAGGGUGAUAGAAACAUUGAGACCUCUGUAUCUGAAAAUGUUUUGACUUUAUUCCUCAUUGCUCUGUUUUCUGUCCUCUAGUUUUCCUAAUGAGAAGUCUGAUGGCAUUCUAAUUUUUGUUACAUUGUAGGAAGCUUUUUGUUUCGGUUUUGAUUUCUCUGAAUAGUUUUAAGAACUGCUUCUUGUCCUGUUAGGGAAUGAUGUUCCCUCUCAGUUUAUUUUUAUCCAUUUGCUAGGUAUUGAGAUGUUAUUCCCAGGAGGACUGUGCAGUAAUCUGCAUUAUCCUCUGCCAUUUCUUUAGAAGGUAGCAUAGUUUUUGGCACAUAGUAGGCAUUUAAUAAUUAUUUUUUGAAUAAAUCUAAUGUUCAUAGAUCCCUAAUGACAUCUUUAUAUUAUCUUCAUUGUUCCUUGUGCCUAUUUUGCCUUCUUUAUCUAAUAUGCAAAACUUUUUAACUUCUUAUCAGUUUACUAUGCCUGUCUUCAGUUUGGUUUUUUUUUUAUUUUUCUCAGUAUCCAGUAGUUUGAGUGUUUUUACACCUGAGAAUUUAUUUAUAUUCAGAUCUGAUAUCUGAAACUAAAAAACCUCAUGAUAUGGCAUUUCAUAGGCAACUUUCUAGUAUACUACAAUCAUGUUGUUAUUUAUAACAUAUGACUAAUUGUUCUCAUUUCUAGACACAGUCUGGAAAAUUGAUGAUCUUAUGGAAUGGCAUCAGGAAAAUAAAGACAAGCUGGGAAAAUCCAACCUCAAGAUACCUUGGGUGAAGAAUGAUGAUUCACAGAAGGGAAGAGAAAUCUUACAUAAAUAAUUGCAGAUAUUUGCUAAAGUGUAUCCCCCAAUCCGGGAAAUACUGUAAAGGUGUAUAUUAUUAUUGAUGUACCAAAGAAGACAGAAUAAAUUCAUAAGAGAAAAUUUA